UACAGAGGUUUCAAGCGUUGUUCGGAUUCAUUGGGCGUAAAGGGUGCGUAGGCGGCGCGGUAAGUCGGGUGUGAAAUUUCGAGGCUUAACUUCGAAACUGCAUUCGAUACUGCCGUGCUCGAGGACUGGAGAGGAGACUGGAAUUUACGGUGUAGCGGUGAAAUGCGUAGAUAUCGUGAGGAAGACCGGUGGCGAAGGCGGGUCUCUGGACAGUUCCUGACGCUGAGGCACGAAGGCCAGGGGAGCAAACGGG
rnacentral:rRNA from 1 species